GGGGCUCAGUGGCAGAGCACCUACUUUGCAUGCAGAAGGUCCCUGGUUCGAUCUGCAAUGACAUCUCCAGGUAGAGCCG